AGUGAACGCUGGCGGUAGGCCUAACACAUGCAAGUUGAACGGCAGCACAGUAAGAGCUUGCUCUUACGGGUGGCGAGUGGCGGACGGGUGAGGAAUACAUCGGAAUCUACUUUUUCGUGGGGGAUAACGUAGGGAAACUUACGCUAAUACCGCAUACGACCUACGGGUGAAAGCAGGGGAUCUUCGGACCUUGCGCGAUUGAAUGAGCCGAUGUCGGAUUAGCUAGUUGGCGGGGUAAAGGCCCACCAAGGCGACGAUCCGUAGCUGGUCCGAGAGGAUGAUCAGCCACACUGGAACUGAGACACGGUCCAGACUCCUACGGGAGGCAGCAGUGGGGAAUAUUGGACAAUGGGCGCAAGCCUGAUCCAGCCAUACCGCGUGGGUGAAGAAGGCCUUCGGGUUGUAAAGCCCUUUUGUUGGGAAAGAAAAGCAGCAGGUUAAUACCCCGCUGUUCUGACGGUACCCAAAGAAUAAGCACCGGCUAACUUCGUG
rnacentral:rRNA from 1 species